CCUACGGGAGGCAGCAGUGGGGAAUUUUGGACAAUGGGCGCAAGCCUGAUCCAGCAAUGCCGCGUGAGUGAAGAAGGCCUUCGGGUUGUAAAGCUCUUUUGUCAGGGAAGAAACGGUGGGGGCUAAUAUCCCUCGCUAAUGACGGUACCUGAAGAAUAAGCACCGGCUAACUACGUGCCAGCAGCCGCGGUAAUACGUAGGGUGCAAGCGUUAAUCGGAAUUACUGGGCGUAAAGCGUGCGCAGGCGGUUUUGUAAGUCUGUCGUGAAAGCCCCGGGCUCAACCUGGGAAUUGCGAUGGAGACUGCAAGGCUUGAAUCUGGCAGAGGGGGGUAGAAUUCCACGUGUAGCAGUGAAAUGCGUAGAGAUGUGGAGGAACACCGAUGGCGAAGGCAGCCCCCUGGGUCAAGAUUGACGCUCAUGCACGAAAGCGUGGGGAGCAAACAGGAUUAGAUACCCUGGUAGUCCACGCCCUAAACGAUGUCUACUAGUUGUCGGGUUUUAAUAACUUGGUAACGCAGCUAACGCGUGAAGUAGACCGCCUGGGGAGUACGGUCGCAAGAUUAAAACUCAAAUGAAAUUGACCGGNNGAGAGNGACGAGACGACGACGAGGAGAGG
rnacentral:rRNA from 1 species